UACAGAGGGGGCAAGCGUUGUUCGGAAUUACUGGGCGUAAAGGGCGCGUAGGCGGCCUGCUAAGUCGAACGUGAAAUCCCUCGGGCUCAACCCAGGAACUGCGUCCGAUACUGGUUGGCUUGAAUCCGGGAGAGGGAUGUGGAAUUCCAGGUGUAGCGGUGAAAUGCGUAGAUAUCUGGAGGAACACCGGUGGCGAAGGCGGCUCUCUGGGACGGUACUGACGCUGAGACGGCGAAAAGCGUGGGGAGCGAACAGG
rnacentral:rRNA from 1 species